GGAAGUAAAGUCGUAACAAGGUUUCCGUAGGUGAACCUGCGGAAGGAUCAUUAUUGUAUAACCGAGGUGCGAGGGCUGUCGCUGACCCGAAAGGUCGUGCACGCCCGAGUGCCCUCACACACAUCCAUCUCACCCCUAUGUGCACCACCGCGUGGGUCCCCCUUUGGCUUGUUCGGAGGGGGGCUUACGUUUUCACACAAACUUUGUAUGCAGUGUAGAAUGUAUUUUUUGUUUUUGCGAUCACGCAAUCAAUACAACUUUCAACAACGGAUCUCCUGGCUCUC
rnacentral:misc_RNA from 1 species